CCUAAUCUUAUAUUUUUAUAACCUUCCAAUAUUUUUUAAAUGUGCUGGUUCUUCCUAGGUUCUUGAGGAAAAAAAAAUAACUUCCAGCAGAGAAUGUCAAGGUUUCCUGUGUGGGACUGAUGUUUGGCCUAGUGGGAUACCCACUUCCUAUAUACGAGUGCUUGGGUUCAGGACCAGGCUCUGCUUCUGAUUCCAGCUUCUUGCUGAUAAAUGUCAGGAUGAGAGUCAAGCACUUGUCCCUGCUGCUCACUGGGAGACCCGGAUGGAGUUGUGGGACUGGCCCUGUGGCCCUGUCCUGUUUGCAGGCAUUUCAGGCAUCUCAGGUAGAGAUGGGAGUACACUCAAAAAGAAGGUUUCCUGUUUCUAAAAAUAUGCAAUUGGAGAAGCAGUUCGGCUGCAUAACACAACUUUGGAAUUAUCCUUUCUUUUUCUCCUGCAUUUUAACUGAAUCUGAUUUCUUUGAACUAUAAUUUUUUUAAAGUUUUUUUUUUUUAAAUUUAUUUGAAAGGCAGUUACAGAGAGGCAGAGGCAGAGAGAGAGAGAGAGAGAGAGGUCUUCCAUCUGCUGGUUCACUCCCCAAAUGGCCUCAACAGCUGGAGCUGGGCCAAUCUGAAGUCAGGAGCCAAGACCUUCUUCUGGGUCUCCCACAUGGGUGCAGGGGUCCAAGGACUUGGGCCAUCUUCCACUGCUUUCCCAGGUCACAGAGGAGCAGCCAGGAUUUGAACCAGUGCCUGUAUGGGAUGCCGGCACUGUACAUGGCAGCUUUACGCAUUACAGAACAUUGCCACAGCUCCAGCCAGGAGCUAUAACUUUUUACAAAAGUGUUCUUUCACUGGUAACAUUUGAGGAUUUUUUUUGUUAUUAAUUUUAUUUUCAUUAUGCUGGGCUCACAAAAUAUAUUAUGCGUCAUUUCAAUCCUUCUAAAUUUUUUAAGAGUUGUGCUAGGCCCACCAGAGAAAUUUAAAAACAAUAUCUAUUUUUAGCUUGCAUUUAUCGCUCUGUAUUUGUUAAUUAGGUAAGUCAGUUUGCCCCAAUAGCUUUCUUCAAUGAUCUUAACCUGCACUGAAAUUUCUUGGUUGCUGGCAGCGUGGAGGCGUGUCUCUCGGAUCGCCCUUCAAGAAGGAACUUGUGUCAGCUGCAGGGUUGCUGUCAGACGCGUCUUGCUUCAGCCUUUGACCAUCCUCCACUGUGGCCAGGCUGAGAAAACGGAGCACCUGGAAGUCCUGGCGGUCACGCCUGACAGACCACGCCUGGUGCAGCCCGCUCUGCGCGGAGGGGUCCCCCCGCGCCGAGUCAGGUCACAGGAAGUGCUUCACCACCACCUUCUACAAAGCAGAAAUGAACCCACCUGAGACCACCUUACCCACCAAAGGGUGGGCUCCCUUAAGUGAAGGAAGCAGAAAGCAAGGCCCCGACUUGGAGGUGCUGGCCUGCAUGUGGGAUCCCAGAGAAGGGCUCAACAACAACAAGAUGCUGUUGGAAAAGUCUCUUUCCCAUUCCCAAGACCAAGAAGUCAUUAGAACCAGGAUUAUACCAUGACCUUUACUCCGGAUUCCAGAGCACAUGGAAUAAAACCUGUGAAUCCUCUGCACCAGAAAGAUGUCGCGAGACACAUCUCAUUUUGUUGACAACAGCAGGGUGUUUGUGGAAUGAAAUCUGUGGGGCCUGGGCUAAGAACCUUCUCCAUUCAGCAUUGAUCUGUAUGUUGUCUAACCUAAUCAGAAAUAAAUGGAACAAG